UACAUAGGUAGCGAGCGUUAUCCGGAAUAACUGGGCGUAAAGGGAGUGUAGGUGGCGAGGUAAGUGUAUUGUGAAAGCCCUAGGCUUAACUUAGGGAUUGCAGUAUAUACUGUUUUGCUAGAGUGCGAGAGAGGCAAGUGGAAUUCCUAGUGUAGCGGUAGAAUGCGUAGAGAUUAGGAGGAACACCAGAGGCGAAGGCGACUUGCUGGCUCGUAACUGACACUGAGACUCGAAAGCGUGGGGAG
rnacentral:rRNA from 1 species